rnacentral:misc_RNA from 1 species
GAUGAAGAACGCAGCGAAAUGCGAUACUUGGUGUGAAUUGCAGAAUCCCGUGAACCAUCGAGUCUUUGAACGCAAGUUGCGCCCGAAGCCAUUAGGCCGAGGGCACGCCUGCCUGGGCGUCACACGUCGUUGCCCCCCCCAUCUACUCCUUCGGGAUUGCGGGGGGCGGAUGAUGGCCUCCCGUGCGCCUCGCCGCGCGGUUGGCAUAAAUGCCAAGUCCUCGGCGAUGCACGCCACGACAAUCGGUGGUUGCGAAACCUCGGUUGCCCGUCGUGUGCGGUCGUCGCGCAUCGAGGGCUCGAAAAAAUUGCCGGGUUCCGGCUCGGCUUUCAACGCGACCCCAGGUCAGGCGGGGUUACCCGCUGAAUUUAAGCAUAUCAUAAGCGGAGGA